rnacentral:rRNA from 1 species
UUGAACGCUGGCGGCAUGCCUAACACAUGCAAGUCGAACGGAAACGAUGGAAGCUUGCUUCCAGGCGUCGAGUGGCGGACGGGUGAGUAAUGCUUAGGAAUCUGCCCAAUAGUGGGGGACAACCAGGAGAAAUUCUGGCUAAUACCGCAUACGCACUACGGUGGAAAGUGGGGGACCUUCGGGCCUCACGCUAUUGGAUGAGCCUAAGUCGGAUUAGCUUGUUGGUGGGGUAAUGGCUCACCAAGGCGACGAUCCGUAGCUGGUCUGAGAGGACGAUCAGCCACACUGGGACUGAGACACGGCCCAGACUCCUACGGGAGGCAGCAGUGGGGAAUAUUGGACAAUGGGCGCAAGCCUGAUCCAGCAAUGCCGCGUGUGUGAAGAAGGCCUGCGGGUUGUAAAGCACUUUCAGUAGAGAAGAAAAGCCUGAGGUUAAUACCCUCGAGUCUUGACGUAACCUACAGAAGAAGCACCGGCUAACUCCGUG